ensembl:snoRNA
GGCAUGUCAAUGGUAUAUUCUUGUUGGGACUGAAUCUAAGUGGUCUAACACCAGCAUUUGUUACUAACACUGAGACAACAAUGCC